AGAUUAUUUCCGGCGACGAGUCUUCUACAGCGCACGUGCUAGGCCUAAGAACGGGGGAACAUCCGGGGUCUAUCCAAAAGUCGAUAGCUAUUUCCGGCGACGAGCCUUCUACAACGCACGUGCUAGGCCUAAGAACGGGGGAACAUCCGGGGUCUAUCCAAAUGUCGAUAGCUGUAGUAACCCCCACAGCUCAGACCAGUUUUACAAACUACGGAAGACACCGGAACAACGUCUGACUCCGAUAGUUCAGAUUUUUUGGAUACCGUCAUUGAAGGAGUAAGAAACUACAAUCAACCCCUUGAAGAAAAUUCCAACAUUGGAGACACUCUCUUCAGGAUUUUUUUCAGCUAAGGGAUAGAAUAACUGAAAACUUUGAGCAUGUCUACAGUGAGUAUGUUCAAUCCUUGCAUAAUACUCUGGAAUCCUUAAAUUGCUGUGUUAUGGUGAAUAAAGAAUUGUUAAGACAAUAUUAUUUUAGAAAUGGCUCAGAAGCGUUCAAGUAAUUCUCCCUCUUCAGAAGCUAAAAAAAUUAGAAUUGAAAAUGACCCUACAUCAUCACAUGAUCUCUGCUUUGGUGAAACUUCGACUUUUUCAAGUAGUCUGUUACAACGUGACCCGUGCACAACCCUGAAUCCUUUUUUAACCGAUGCAAUCA